GACGAACGCUGGCGGCGUGCUUAACACAUGCAAGUCGAACGGCGAGCCAUUGAAGCUUGCUUCUUUCAAUCUUAGUGGCGGACGGGUGAGUAACGCGUAGUCAACCUGCCCUUCAGAGGGGGACAACAGUUGGAACUGACUGCUAAUACCCCAUACGACCCAAUCUCGGCAUCGGGGCCGGUUGAAAGGUGGCCUCUAUUUAUAAGCUAUCACUGAAGGAGGGGAUUGCGGCUGAUUAGCUCGUUGGAGGGGGAAAGGCCCACCAAGGCGAGGGACAGUAGCCGGGCUUGAGGGAAUGACGGCCAAAACUGGAAGGGGAAACGGCCCAGAACCCCUACGGAGGGAGCAGGUGGGGAACUUCCGAAAUUGAGGGAAGGCUGACGGCAGAACUCCGGGGGAGGGAGGACGGCCUUCGGGUUGGAAAGGUCUGUUAAUCGGGACGAAUGGUUCUUGUGCGAAUAGGGCGAGGAUUUGACGGUACCGGAAGAGAAAGCCACGGCUAACUACGUG
rnacentral:rRNA from 1 species